ensembl:rRNA 5S_rRNA 5S ribosomal RNA
GUCUACCGCCAUACCAGCCUGAACGCACUCGAUCUUGUCUGAUCUCCGAAGCUAAGCAGGGUUGGGCCUGGUUAGUACUUGGAUGGGAGAAAACUGUCUUCAUUCACA